rnacentral:lncRNA from 1 species
GCUUUCCUGCGCUCUGAGAGGGGUUGUCUGCCCUUGCAUGGGGCCAAGUCACUAGGAAGCCGCAAAUCUUUUUAGUACGAAGGCACUAGACUUUCUAAAAGAUUCGGCCAAGGAAGCUGUCUUCCGUGUCUCUUUUUCUUCCAAGCCGCCCUCCCCAGCCACAAGCCGCCGCAGGACCCAGUGGGGCUGAAUGACAGGCGGUCCAGCCCAAAGUAAGGGCUGAAGAAGAUCACUUGAACCCUAAGAAAUCCCUCUCCUCUGAAAUCUGUGUAUGACACCAGCUGCCCCUCCUUUCGAUGGGCCCAGCCUUGUUUUUGACUUGACAGACAUCGUGAGCUGCCUGCUGGAAGGAACCCCACGCAGCAGGCACUGCUUCCCGACGGGAUCUGAAGGACCCUGAGCAUCCUCUCUACCCAAAAGAGACGCUUUGCACCUGCUCCCACCUUGCAUCCUCUGUGCUUUUACUCUCUCAGCCUCUCAUUUAAAAGCAUCCCCAAAGCUCCCCUUCCCCUCCCACCAUGAUUGGAAGCUUUCUGAGGCCCUAUGCAGAAGGAGAUGUGGCACCAUGCUUCUCUCUACAGCCCGCAGAACUGUGAGCCAAAUAAACCUCUUUUUUAAAUUGCAUUUUAGGUUUGGGGUACAUGUGAAGAACAUGCAAGAUAGUUGCAUAGAUACACUU